AUAACAAUACAGGACUCUUUAGAGUCCCUGUAAUUGUAAUGAGUCCACUUGAAAUCCUUUAAUUAUGAUCAAUUGGAGGGUAAGUCUGGUGCAGAGCGACUGACCCAUGCGUGCUGCAGCUGAAA